rnacentral:rRNA from 1 species
ACGAACGCUGGCGGCAGGCUUAACACAUGCAAGUCGCGCGCCCCGCAAGGGGAGCGGCAGACGGGUGAGUAACGCGUGGGAACGUACCUUUUGGUUCGGAACAACUCCGGGAAACUGGAGCUAAUACCGGAUAAGCCCUAACGGGGAAAGAUUUAUCGCCGAAAGAUCGGCCCGCGUCUGAUUAGCUAGUUGGUGAGGUAACGGCUCACCAAGGCGACGAUCAGUAGCUGGUCUGAGAGGAUGAUCAGCCACACUGGGACUGAGACACGGCCCAGACUCCUACGGGAGGCAGCAGUGGGGAAUAUUGGACAAUGGGCGCAGGCCUGAUCCAGCCAUGCCGCGUGAGUGAUGAAGGCCUUAGGGUUGUAAAGCUCUUUUGUCCGGGAAGAUAAUGACUGUACCGGAAGAAUAAGCCCCGGCUAACUUCGUG